CAGUAGCCACGGGAAUACGAAGGGUGCAAGCGUUACUCGGAAUUACUGGGCGUAAAGCGUGCGUAGGUGGUGGUUUAAGUCCGUUGUGAAAGCCCUGGGCUCAACCUGGGAAUUGCAGUGGAUACUGGGUCACUAGAGUGUGGUAGAGGAUAGUGGAAUUUCCGGUGUAGCAGUGAAAUGCGUAGAGAUCGGAAGGAACAUCUGUGGCGAAGGCGACCACCUGGACUGAUACUGACACUGAGGUGCGAAAGCGUGGGGAGCAAACAGGAUUAGAUACCCCAGUAGUCCCUGUCUCUUAUAC
rnacentral:rRNA from 1 species